rnacentral:rRNA from 1 species
UACGGAGGGAGCUAGCGUUGUUCGGAAUUACUGGGCGUAAAGCGCACGUAGGCGGCUUUGUAAGUUAGAGGUGAAAGCCCGGAGCUCAACUCCGGAAUUGCCUUUAAGACUGCAUCGCUUGAAUCCGGGAGAGGUGAGUGGAAUUCCGAGUGUAGAGGUGAAAUUCGUAGAUAUUCGGAAGAACACCAGUGGCGAAGGCGGCGUCACUGGACCGGUAUUGACGCUAGGAGGUGCGAAAGCGUGGGGAGCAAACAGG